GCCAAAGCACAGAGAACUGUGUCCACAAUUCUGCAUGGCAUGGCAUCUCCAAAUAGCUGCAGAUGUGAGACACAGAUGUGAGACAGAGAGUUGCAACAGUCAAAAGAAAUCUUAUUCCGUGAUGAAGAUCAUAGAUUGUAUAAUGAAUAUUGUACCAAACACUCAUCGGAGUCUGUGUAAAGAAAGAAGCCUGUACCCCACUUGCAAACCGCCACCCACUUUGCCUCUCCUAAUAGGCACCAUUUCAUACAUAACUUGUUUGUUCUGCUCACUUUAUGUAUAUUAUAAUACAAAUAAAAAAUCUUGCUUUUCAAGAA